GACUGCGUUUUCUCGCCAUUCUUAAAAGCAAACAUCUGACUUCUGCGUGUGCGCGUGUGUUUUGUACACAAUUUUGGCCAUGUCGAGGCUUCAACUUUUUCUCUGCUUGUACCUUGCGGAUCUGGUGACGUCACACGACAUUAACGUGACGUGUCGGAAAAAUAAUAAGUUGCCGCCUUCGAGUGACAAGAGUCCAUCUCAGCUCGCAGACUUGAAGUUUGAGCUGGUAAACCUGUCAGGAAUAGACAUGGUAAAUGUAAGCUGGGCAAUCAACAUUGAUGCUAGUGUAAAAUAUCUGAUUGGCACACGCAUUAGAGGGAAGACGAUCUACGUCUGUGAAUACUCUCCACCUCUGGCCGAGUUUAACCUCACUGGCAUACGGCAGAAAUGGUUUCACUACUUACUGCAAGCUCGCUACGGUGCCACGAUCGAGGUGGCCAAUCUUCCAUUGCCACCACUGGGGAGCGGCCCUUCUUCUAAGUUUGCAAAAUUCGUCACUACUCCACCCAAAUACAGUCUCGCACCAAAGUCAACCCAGUCUCCUACAGCUGAGAUCAUUGAUAUCACAACAGGAAAUCCCACUGCAGAUCCUAAAAACAAUUUCACCAGCAUAUUGGUGAACGUUUAUCUCGGACUGGCUGUUUUGAUGAUCCUAGCGUCUGGAUACAUGAUCUAUAAACGGUAUGGGACAGACCUGGCCAUAUCAAUGGGCUUUAAAAGGUUACCGACAUCAACCCAAGUUCCCAUCCAUGUGCUUUUGGUGUACCCCCCUGAGAAUGGAGCCUUCCAGAAGGCUGUGAUGGCCUUGGCAGAAUUCCUGCAGAAGCACGCAGGCUGCAGUGUUGCCAUUGACGUAUGGCAGCAGAGCAGAAUCGCAUACGAUGGUCCCAUGCGUUGGUUGGCGGAGCAAGUCAAAGCUGCACAGCACGUCCUCAUCGUCUGCCCACCGUCAAGCCGGCCUCCUCCCAUCCCCAUCUCCACCUCCACUGGGACGACCUCUAUACCAGCUGCAACUCACGAUCUUUACCCCCUGAUCCUCAACAUGGUGGCGAGCCACGCUAAGAGUGCUCACGAGCUCGCUAAAUUCUGGGUGCUACAAUUGGGCGGUCAGCAAGGGAAGAGACCUGGUGACAUGGCUCCAGAACUGCGUGCAUGCAAGCUCUUUUGUUUACUGAAAGAUCUGAACAAACUGUGUCGCAGUCUGCACACUCAAAAACAAGAUAGUAAAAUGAGAUCGACUCUUGUCUUUGGACCUGGAGUAAUUGAUGAGAGUGAGAGUAUGGUGAAAUUAAGGGACUCGGUUGAAAAGCUAAGUCGACGUUGUUUAUUGAUUCCCACAGAGGCAGCACAACGGUCAAUUGUGUAAUCACCUCCGUUUGAAGAAAUUUAAUGGAAUGUAUGGAUUAAUAUUAAUAAUCCACGUGAUGAACCUGUAUAGAAUCCAUCCAUCCGAUACCUGCAAACGAGUCGCCGGCAUGCUGGAACGCAUCCCAGCUGUCUUUGGACAGAAGGCGCGAUACACUCUGAACUGACACACUCAACACAUACUGGCACACAUAAAAGCAUUGUACAGUACAGCCCUGUACAGUUUACAGUGUUCAAUUAACCUACCAUGCAUGUUUUGGGAAUUUGCAGCUUGCAAUAUGUGUCUACCAGUAGCAGACAUAAAUAAUAAAAAGGCAUCACAUGCCAGAAGUGAUACUAUAAAGUACUGUGCAGUAAGAACCAUGUCUAGAGUGAAUUUUGAAAUAUUCCACAAACAGGAUUAAAAAAAAUCCAUGACAUCUUGUUAUACGAGAAAUGACAUAGAAUGUCACAUACAAAAAAAAACAAAUUGACCAACAUGAGUGGAUGAUAGCUUUGACUUGUUGGUGAAAGUAUUCAAGUGAUGGCAUUGGUAAAUAAUGAUGGCUGCAAAGACACAACUAGGAGACAUGGGAGAUGAGAAUAUCGAGUGUUGAAGAAGCGGAGACAACUGAAUCUUGAUCAAGAAUUAAAAAAAAAAAUCACGCCCAUCUAGAAAAAAGAGCUACGAAAGGGAAAAAAAAAUAAAAGAAAAAAUCCAAGAGGUGGCGUCAAUCAGGCUGGUGAAAAUAGAACUCGAGAAGGACAGAUGUAAUGAUGACGAAGUUGACCUUGAACUAUUUCCCAGUCAAUCACACACAGUAUAGAUGACUAGGUAAACGCUGAUUCACACCUGCAUGGACAAUUUAGAAUCUUCACUGAACCUGGCAUGAAUGGUUUUGGAAUGUGAAACUGUGGGACAUGCAAACUGCAACCAGAAAGGAACCUUGACGUGAAAGCCACAAAAAAUUAGCACCAACUUGCUGGAUCAAAAACGCAAAUGAAUGAGUCAUUUGCAUUACAUUUCUUCUGGUGUUUGAGUCAUUUCUGAUGUUUGUCUAUGUUUUUGGAUGUGUUGAACAGCCUUCUAUAAGGUGUCAUAAACAGCAAAAUGCCAAUUUUCAUUCACCUUCCGCCAAAGAGGGUGUACAUGCUCCUAAGUGAUUUUUAAAUUUCAAUUCUAGAAACAGAGAAUACUUGACAUAAACCAAAAUCAACCCAUAACAGUAGUUGCUUUCUUUACCGCAUGUCCACUUCACGUCUCGCCGUGUUGAUAUGUUGAGCUCAAGGAGGAGUUAGCAGUAAAAAACAGUGACAGGUUGCCAGGAAAUCCCAGGAUUUACUCUGUCAGGACGUGGCUAUCAAGUCUGUGAUUUAUUUCAACAGCCUAUGUGAGGAAAGACAAUUUCCCUUUAGCUCAUUUCUUUUGGCCAUGUAUAAGCCAUUAUACUGUAUUUUAAUAAAUCAAACCAAAAGUACAGUACUUGCAAAAUCAACAUGAGCUCAUCAUUUGUCUUUAAAUUCACACCUUCAACAUUUAGUGUUAUGCUGGCUGUCAUGAAAGUGGGAGAAUCGCAUAAUAUAUUGGCCGACGAAAUGUUCAGUUGUGUGCAACGUUUGUCUAAACACAUUAAAUUUAUGCUCUACACGAAAAGUUCAAUGUUGCCGUAUGCUUAGCUGUCCAUCUUGCAUUUUUUUCCCGCUUCACUUGAACAAUGUACUCUCUUUGCACCAAAAAAAAAAAAAAAAGAAAAGCAGUGAGACCAGGUAGCACACACAUGCAGCAGACUGUGUCAGACUCCCCAAAUUCUUGCCGUUCUGCAACAAUAAACAGCCAAGCGAGAGUAACCCGAGAAAGACAUUGUCAACCAAUGCUUGGUUUGUCAGCAGAAAGCGGAUGUGUUUUUGUGUGUGUGUGUGUGUGUGUGUGUGUGUGCAAAUCAAAUGUGAAAGCGAAAACAAUUGGAAGAGAUUUCAAGUUUGCUUUGCAAGGCUGACAACUAAAGUGACUUAAAGAAGACAUGUGGAUGUCUGUGAGUGAUUUGCAUGCAUAUUAUAUUUUGCCCGCAUACAGGUUGUAAAAAAAUUCACAAGUGCUCCCUUCUUCAUUUUAGCCUUUACAUGUGCGCGUGUAUAUUUCAGUCCGCAGCUUCACACAAUUUAGGAUCUUGCCAAUACCCAAUUUGUACACGGCGCACGUCAGCAUGAGAUUUGAAAAGUGAACCUUUUCUCUCCCACAGCAAAUCCGUCAACCUCCCCCAAAAAAUGCAUUUCUGAAGCGCAUCUGCUUUUUAUCACUUUGUGGAAACCUAUAGCCAGGGAAUUAAUCCGGUUUCCAUGAGAUGAUACUCCAAACCAGUAGAAAUGUUUUCCUUAUGGCUAAAUCAGUUAAUGACGCUGGAA